ensembl:lncRNA
GGAGGCUAUAUACAGGGGGUACCAGUACAGAGUCAAUGUGGAGGCUAUAUAUAGGGGGUACCAGUACAGAGUCAAUGUGGAGGCUAUAUACAGGGGGUACUGGUACAGAGUCAGUGUGGAGGCUAUAUACAGGGGGUACCGGUACAGAGUCAAUGUGGAGGCUAUAUACAGGGGGUACCAGUACAGAGUCAAUGUGGAGGCUAUAUACAGGGGGUACCGGUACAGAGUCAGUGUGGAGGCUAUAUACAGGGGGUACCGGUACAGAGUCAGUGUGGAGGCUAUAUACAGGGGGUACCGGUACAGAGUCAAUGUGGAGGCUAUAUACAGGGG